UAGCGGACACCUGUGCUUCAUUC
rnacentral:piRNA from 1 species